UACGGGGGGGGUAAGCGUUGUUCGGAAUUACUGGGCGUAAAGGGCUCGUAGGCGGCCAACUAAGUCAGACGUGAAAUCCCUCAGCUUAACUGGGGAACUGCGUCUGAUACUGGAUGGCUUGGGAUUUGGGAGAGGGAUGCGGAAUUCCAGGUGUAGCGGUGAAAUGCGUAGAUAUCUGGAGGAACACCGGUGGCGAAGGCGGCAUCCUGGACCAAUAUUGACGCUGAGGAGCGAAAGCCAGGGGAGCAAACAGG
rnacentral:rRNA from 1 species